rnacentral:tRNA from 1 species
UGGGGUGUGGCUCAGCGGUAGAGCGCUUGCCUAGCAUGCAUGAGGCACUGGGUUCGAUCCUCAGCACCACAU